rnacentral:rRNA from 1 species
UGGGGAAUAUUGCACAAUGGGCGCAAGCCUGAUGCAGCCAUGCCGCGUGUAUGAAGAAGGCCUUCGGGUUGUAAAGUACUUUCAGCGGGGAGGAAGGUGUUGAGGUUAAUAACCUCAGCAAUUGACGUUACCCGCAGAAGAAGCACCGGCUAACUCCGUGCCAGCAGCCGCGGUAAUACGGUGGGUGCAAGCGUUAAUCGGAAUUACUGGGCGUAAAGCGCACGCAGGCGGUCUGUCAAGUCGGAUGUGAAAUCCCCGGGCUCAACCUGGGAACUGCAUUCGAAACUGGCAGGCUAGAGUCUUGUAGAGGGGGGUAGAAUUCCAGGUGUAGCGGUGAAAUGCGUAGAGAUCUGGAGGAAUACCGGUGGCGAAGGCGGCCCCCUGGACAAAGACUGACGCUCAGGUGCGAAAGCGUGGGGAGCAAACA